rnacentral:rRNA from 1 species
AUUGAACGCUGGCGGCAGGCCUAACACAUGCAAGUCGAGCGGAUGAAGGGAGCUUGCUCCUGGAUUCAGCGGCGGACGGGUGAGUAAUGCCUAGGAAUCUGCCUGGUAGUGGGGGAUAACGUCCGGAAACGGGCGCUAAUACCGCAUACGUCCUGAGGGAGAAAGUGGGGGUUUUUCGGACCUCACGCUAUCAGAUGAGCCUAGGUCGGAUUAGCUAGUUGGUGGGGUAAAGGCCUACCAAGGCGACGAUCCGUAACUGGUCUGAGAGGAUGAUCAGUCACACUGGAACUGAGACACGGUCCAGACUCCUACGGGAGGCAGCAGUGGGGAAUAUUGGACAAUGGGCGAAAGCCUGAUCCAGCCAUGCCGCGUGUGUGAAGAAGGUCUUCGGAUUGUAAAGCACUUUAAGUUGGGAGGAAGGGCAGUAAGUUAAUACCUUGCUGUUUUGACGUUACCAACAGAAUAAGCACCGGCUAACUUCGUG